UGUACCUGAUAUAACAUCUAAAACCAAUUGGAAUCGUGCUGUUGAAAGUAGGGGCAAGUUAUUAUUAACACUGCGGUUUUUAGCCACCAAUAAUUUCCUAGUGUCUGCUGGGGACUUUAUUGGAAUCCAUAAAACAACCGCUGGAAGUCAUGUGUGGACGGUUCUACAAGCCUUGGCAAAUUUAAGAGCAUUGUAUAUCUGAAUGCCAUGUACUGCACAAGAAUUAGCAGAUACUAAACAAAAAUUUUAUGAAAUUGCAAGAUUUCCUAAUGUUAUUGGAGCUAUUGACUGUACGCAUGUCAAAAUUGAAUCUCCAGGUGGAAAGUUAUUCAGAAACAGAAAAAAUUUUUUUUCAAUGAAUGUUCAGGCUAUAUGUAAUGCAGAGUUAAAAUUUACUAAUGUUGUUGCAAGGUGGCCAGGUUCUGUGCAUGAUGCAAGAAUAUUUGCAAAUUCCAGCAUAAAAAAAAGUUUUGAAGAUGGAAUAUUUGCAAACAGUUUACUUCUUGGUGAUAGCGGAUAUCCUAUUUCUAAUUAUUGUGUAAUACAAAUACAUCAACCUACAACCUAAAAUCUCGGCAAUUUAGAGGCCUUCUUACCAUCGGAAAAUAUAUUUUGAACAGGGAAUGUUUUGUAAAAUCUAAUAAGACAUGUAAUUGUUUAGAUCCGUUAUUAUAGAUUUAGUGUCCAUUACUGUCUACAUUUUUGGUAGCUACAGGUUUUUCUCAUGCAUCAAGAUAAAAAUACUAUUAAAAAAAAUCUCGGCAAUUUAGAGGCCUUCUUACUAUCGGAAAAUAUAUUUUGAUCAGGGAAUGUUUUGUAAAAUCUAAUAAGACAUGUAAUUGUUUAGAUCCGUUACCAUAGAUUUAGUAUCCAUUACCGGUUACCGGUAACCAAGCGGUAACUACAGGGUGUCCAGUGGCAGAUUUCAAUGUUUGAGGGCUUGUAAAAAAAUAACUAUUAUUUCUAAACAAAAUAUUUUUAUUAAGGUCAAAAGAAGACGAGUGCGGAUUUUAUCUCCUGAAAAUUACAUUUUCCAAAUGCCGCCCUUCUACUCUCACACACUCCUCAAUCUAUUCCGCAUGUUGAGAAAAACUUGUUUGCAAAGGGAACUGGGAAUUCUGUUUGUUUCAGCCCGGAUAUUUUCCUUCAGUUGCCUUAUGGUUGUUGGAUUUGAUUGGUAAACCACAGUUUUUAGAUAGCCCUACUAGAAAAAGUCACAUAGACUUAGGUCUGGUGACCUGGGUGGCCACGGGAUGGUGCCGUUUCGGGAUAUGUGCUUUUCAGGAAAUAACUGCCGCACUGUAUUCAUUGACACAUUUGCAGUAUGAGCCGAAGCAAAUCUUGAAUAAUCUGAAUUUGGUAUGGAUGGAGCUUAAGCUUUUUUCGCAUAAUGACCUGUAAAAUCGAUUUAGGAAUUCCCAAUAUUUUGGUACUGGUUUUUCUCA